rnacentral:lncRNA from 1 species
CUCAUGUACUGUUUCUACAGCAAUAAUGGAUUCCUGUGCCGCGGGGAACUUUAUUGACCAGACCCUUGCCUCUCAACUUCACCUCAUACCCGCUCUCCUCUCCUUUCGCGGUUCAAGCCCUCGAUAAUCAGCAACUAGGUUCCGGGACCAUCAGACACGUCAUCAAACCACUCACUGCGCCCCCACGCAGAUGCCGCUACCCUCUGUCGGUGGCUGAAACCCAGGCCAUGGAAGAGUACAUCCAUGAGGCGCUCCAACUAGGUUUCAUCCGCAGGUCCACUUCUCCUGUGUCAGCAGGUUAAUUCUUCAUGGCCAAGGAUGGAGGGUUACGCCCAUGUAUUGAUUAGAGGACUCAAUGAAGUCGCCACCAAGUACCGUUACCCUCUCCCAUUGGUGCCCGGCAGCUAUCAAAGAGCUCCGCGGGGCCCAGUUCUUUACCAAAUUGGACCUACGGAGUGCAUACAAUCUCAUCCGCAUCUGGGAGGGGAAUGAAUGGAAGACAGCUUUUAGCACAAUAUCUGGUCACUACGAGUGUUCCAGGCAUUCGUCAACGAGGUGUUUCGGGACAUGCUCUGACGCCAGGUGGUCGUGUAUAGCGACAUCCUGGUUUACUCGGCAACCUUGGAGGGUCACAUUGAGUGGAUGAUAAAUGAAGACCCCGAUGAGAGACCUACAGUGGAGUAAACCCUGACUCAUCCCUCCUUCUGGAAACCACAGAGGAGAGUUGGGAAUGAGAGGUCGGGAAGUGUCAUGAUGCUGACCCAGAGCUUCUCGACGUGCUGUGGAGAGAACCUUCUGUCAGUGGAGAUCCAAGCUGCCCUCUGCUUUGAUGAAAAAGAUGGCUGGCAGAAAGCCCUUCCCUGAGAACAUGUUGGGGUUACUACGCUUCAUACGCAACCUCCAUGAGCACUAUGCUGAGGAUUUAGCAUCUGACCUGAUGGUCCCUGAUCUCUUUGGAUGCGUCUACAUGUUGGCCAAGAAACAGGGUUUGUCAAAUGCAGUGUACCUGCUGAGAGAUGGAGGGGAUGAGAGAUAUACAUUCCUGAAUUGAAGCAUGGGACCAAAUCUGUCAGUUUUCCAUGCUUACGGACACGACUUGCCAUGUCGGGUACUUGAACAUGAUCAUUAAUAUUGUCACUAGGUAUUUAAUGUUUUUAAGGUUUAACUAAAUCCUUUUUGCCAUGGUAUGACAUGUUUUAUAUUUGUAGAUGAAAUUCAACACAAGAUGUGUUGAAGGUGCUGGACUGGGAAAUGGGAAGCAGAUGGAGAUGCUGUGGUCGUAUCUGAGGCACUUUGGGAAGGUCACUAGAUGACGCCGUCCCAUCGUAUUGACCUCCUGACUGAUGCCCUUCACCAUGGGAAAAGAUGUGCCAGAGGCAACUGGACGAAAGUUGCAACAGAAGCAGAAUGGAAAAUGGCAGAAAUUGCAGUCUCUAACAGGGCCCAGCAGGAAAGUGGAGAUGGAAUAGCUGUUGCUCAGCUUAUGCAGAUCGAAAACUGAAGACGAUGGAGAGGAAGAACGGCAUCCUCCAUCGAUGGUCCCCCACCAGCAGUCUCUUCCAGACUGCACUCCACAGACUGCAGAGUAACAGAUUGAAGACCAAUUUGGAAGGAACAUUCAGUCUGGUGCUAGAACGGAGGUUACUCUGUGGCCUGAAGAGAUAAUAUGCAGGAAAUAUAUAUUCAACAAUAGGAACAAGUCAACUCAUAUCAGUUCUAUGAUAUUUCUGGAUGGUCAAGGUAUUGCCAACCGCCUGUCCAAAAAGCUUGCCACGCUCUCACAAGUCCUGGUGUAUGAGGAUGCAGUGCAGGUGGACAGCACUGUUUGGUCCUGGAGAGCAGGAAGAGCAGAGGAUGAUGGGGAGUUUCACUUCAAGCAAAGGCUCUCUGUGCUCCAUUCCCUCAGAACGGGCGUGUGAAGAUAACUGGUACAUUGAGGAUGAAGCCAUCACUGCCAAGAAGUUCUACUCACAUGAGCAGGAACUGAUCGUGGAGGCCUUACAACAUUACACAGAGCAAGAUGGAUUUAGUCUUGGGGCAAGAGCUGUCCUUGCUGGAAUGCUUGCUGAGCAUCAGCAUGCAGAAGGACAAAGUGAAUUGUUCAGAAGUGCUUUUUUGAGGGCAGCGGUAUAAACAUUGAAGUGGAGGACAUUGAGGAAGUGGAUGAGGAUGAUGACUAUGAUGGGGAUUACGACAACGAUGGUGAUAUUGAUGGAGGAAAAAAUGUAUGAGGCUGAGUGUGUCUAAUUGUUGUUUGUUUCUUGUCCAUUCUGUUUUAAUGUAUGUAAUUCAGUGGUGUACAGUAUUUAAGUAAAAAAAGGGGGGUAAAAUGAAAAAAUAUUAAACAUACAACAAAAAUUGUAUGUUUUGUUAUUUUUGGGUUAAAGGAAGCACUCUGGCCAUUUCUGUUUAAUUGUUAGAUGUGAUAUAUAGGCCAUUCUUUCAUGUCAUUUACCAUUUAUGUCAUGGUGAGGGGAACCUGACGUGAACCUGCUAUACCCCAACCUGAGUCUAAUGCAAUAGACAGGUUUGCUUCCUCCAAAGUAUUGUAUUUUCAUUGACUUGUUAGUUGUGGAGUUUGUAAACAUCAAUUUAGAUAAUUUUGUAAAUAUUGUAAUUUGAACAUCUAAAUCACUGUUGUCAUUUUUAAAAUAAAUAACUUCUGC